rnacentral:rRNA from 1 species
GGUGCUUGCACCCAGUGGCGAACGGGUGAGUAACACGUAUCUAAUCUACCCAUUAGCGGGGGAUAACAGUUGGAAACGACUGCUAAUACCGCAUACGACAUUUUCUGGCAUCAGAGAAUGUUAAAAGGUCCGUUUGGAUCACUAAUGGAUGAGGAUGCGGCGUAUUAGUUAGUUGGUGGGGUAAUGGCCUACCAAGACAAUGAUACGUAGCCGAACUGAGAGGUUGAUCGGCCACAUCGGGACUGAGACACGGCCCGAACUCCUACGGGAGGCAGCAGUAGGGAAUUUUUCACAAUGGGCGAAAGCCUGAUGGAGCAAUGCCGCGUGACUGAAGACGGUCUUCGGAUUGUAAAGGUCUGUUGUAAGGGAAGAACAGUAAGUAUAGGAAAUGAUACUUAUUUGACGGUACCUUACCAGAAAACCACGGCUAACUAUGUGCCAGCAGCCGCGGUAAUACAUAGGUGGCAAGCGUUAUCCGGAUUUAUUGGGCGUAAAGCGUGCGCAGACGGUUUAACAAGUCUGGGGUCAAAUCCUGGAGCUCAACUCCAGUUCGCCUUGAAAACUGUUAAGCUAGAGUGUAGGAGAGGUCGAUGGAAUUCCAUGUGUAGCGGUGAAAUGCGUAGAUAUAUGGAGGAACACCAGUGGCGAAGGCGGUCGACUGGCCUAUCACUGACGUUUAGGCACGAA